rnacentral:rRNA from 1 species
CGGGGGGAGCAAGCGUUGUUCGGAUUUACUGGGCGUAAAGGGCGCGUAGGCGGCCACGACAAGUCAGUUGUGAAAUCUCUGGGCUUAACUCAGAACGGUCAACUGAUACUGUCGGGCUAGAGUGCAGAAGGGGCAACUGGAAUUCUCGGUGUAGCGGUGAAAUGCGUAGAUAUCGAGAGGAACACCUGCGGCGAAGGCGGGUUGCUGGGCUGACACUGACGCUGAGGCGCGAAAGCUAGGGGAGCGAACGGGAUUAGAUACCCCGGUAGUCCUAGCCUUAAACGAUGAAUGCUUGGUGUCUCGGGUUAUAUAGUCCCGAGGUGCCGUCGCUAACGCAUUAAGCAUUCCGCCUGGGGAGUACGGUCGCAAGACUG